UUUUGCUAGAUUUAACUAGUGGAGUUGAUAAGGAGCAAAAAAGGGCCGAACGUUUACAUUUUGGGUAGAGACGAUCUGAUGAUUGGAGGUUGUUAUGUAUGUGAAAUAAAAAAUUUCUGGUGAGGGGAGCCAAAAAUUUCC